UCGUCGUCAUUGGACAGGGCG
rnacentral:misc_RNA from 1 species